AAUAGAUACCCGGGUAGUCCACGCCGUAAACGAUGAGUGCUAAGUGUUAGAGGGUUUCCGCCCUUUAGUGCUGAAGUUAACGCAUUAAGCACUCCGCCUGGGGAGUACGGCCGCAAGGCUGAAACUCAAAGGAAUUGACGGGGGCCCGCACAAGCGGUGGAGCAUGUGGUUUAAUUCGAAGCAACGCGAAGAACCUUACCAGGUCUUGACAUCCUCUGAAACCCUAGAGAUAGGGCUCCUCCUUCGGGAGCAGAGUGACAGGUGGUGCAUGGUUGUCGUCAGCUCGUGUCGUGAGAUGUUGGGUUAAGUCCCGCAACGAGCGCAACCCUUGAUCUUAGUUGCCAUCAUUAAGUUGGGCACUCUAAGGUGACUGCCGGUGACAAACCGGAGGAAGGUGGGGAUGACGUCAAAUCAUCAUGCCCCUUAUGACCUGGGCUACACACGUGCUACAAUGGACGGUACAAAGAGCUGCAAGACCGCGAGGUGGAGCUAAUCUCAUAAAACCGUUCUCAGUUCGGAUUGUAGGCUGC
rnacentral:rRNA from 1 species